rnacentral:rRNA from 1 species
UAAUACGUAGGGUGCAAGCGUUAAUCGGAAUUACUGGGCGUAAAGCGUGCGCAGGCGGUUCGGAAAGAAAGAUGUGAAAUCCCAGAGCUUAACUUUGGAACUGCAUUUUUAACUACCGAGCUAGAGUGUGUCAGAGGGGGGUGGAAUUCCACGUGUAGCAGUGAAAUGCGUAGAUAUGUGGAGGAACACCGAUGGCGAAGGCAGCCCCCUGGGAUAACACUGACGCUCAUGCACGAAAGCGUGGGGAGCAAACAGGAUUAGAUACCCUGGUAGUCCACGCCCUAAACGAUGUCAACUAGCUGUUGGGGCCUUCGGGCCUUGGUAGCGCAGCUAACGCGUGAAGUUGACCGCCUGGGGAGUACGGUCGCAAGAUUAAA